UUGAUUCCUCUGGUUCAGUGAACUCGGGCAAGUUUCCUAAUUUCUAUGAGUCUUAAGUUUCCUCAUGUCUACAAUGAAGAUGAAAUUACUUACAUUGCAGGAUUUGUCAGAGGAAAACCUUUCUUCUACCCUCUUGGGUUCAAUAAUUGAGGAUGUGUGAAUUAAGCUGACAAAGAGAAAAGACAAGAGAAAAGACAGCUUUUAAUCAACUAUUUACGUGGGAGCACAAGGUGCCGGUGGUCUUCUCCAUCUUCUUUCUGGCCAGUAAAGCUCCCCUAGAGAGGGAAUUUAUGACAUCCUCACUCCCAGAAAUUUCUGCCUUUAUUUUGCUAACAGAUGGAUAGUCUGAAAACCUGUCCUCUUAACUGAACAACUUGGCCCUCUCAGAACCGACUGGGAUAAAGCUGAUUUUUCACAAGGUGGAGAGGUGAGGAAGAGGCCUGACUUCUAAAUGACCGAUGAUCUGCCAUCUUGGUACAGACGGUUUGAUGAAAAAAACUGUUCAACAUGGAUUCUAGAGCACAGGCUCCGGACGCACAGGCUCAGC